CUACUUCUUGUGAAAGUGCAGUAAAUUCUUUGCUAAUCAUUUUGGGUGCUUUUGUUUAUGUUGGAAAUGGAAUGAUAUACUCAAUUUUCUUAGCCUCAAUUUAAGAAUCAGUAAAGAGGGUGCUCGCAAGGUUGCAUGAAUUCCCUUAUUGAGUUGCAUGGUCUUUGUCAUGUCGCCAUCAGUAUUCACUAGCUAAAGAUUACUACUGAUGAUGAUCUGAUAGCACUGGUGUCAGAUGUAGUUUUCCAGCCACAAGUUGUUUGGAAGCUUGGAGAUGUUCAAGUUACAUGUGGAACUCUUGGUCUCCCUAUGGCAACUGUUAGACUCAUUGAUGUUGAGGGGGAAGAGCAUAUUGCAUGUGCGAAUGGAACAGGUCCAGUUGAUUCAGCAUACAAAGCGGUUGAUCUCAUUGUGAAGGUUUGCCGCAGAAACUUGUAUUUUCUUCUCCCACGAUAUUCCUAUGAGGCUUGAUAAUAGUUAGAAUUGUAUGAAGAAGAAAAGAAAGAGAGACGAGCAAGAGAAAUAAUCUGCAAGAAAAGAGAGGCACUCUAAAAAUUAGGGUUUUCCUCUCUUACCUCAAUACAUUUGUAUUAAAAGGAAGAUAAAUUAAAAAUAUAAAAAAUUCCCUCAACACAACUUAAUACUCCCCAUCAAGUUAGUGCAUAGAUAUCUCUCAUGCUCAACUUGCACACAAUAUGAUGAAACACCUUGCCACCCGGACUUUCAGUUAAUACAUCAACUAUCUGGUCUCCUGGUUUCACUAAAGCAUAUAAAUCACACUAUUAUUCAAUUUCUCAUUAAAAAAAUAACUUAACUCCAAAAUUACCAUCAAUGAACAAGCCAGUUACCAAUGGCUAUUGUUGAUAAUGAUUUAACUAUUCGUUAUCAACAAUCAAAAUUUAUGGUGUUGAGGACUUGUUUUUCCAAAACCAGAACCAAAUGACUUAUUUAUCAAAAACUAGAACCAAAGUCUACAAAACAGUUAGUUUAGGAAUGAAAAAGAGCAUACACGCAAUUUUAGUUUGAACUAUUACUCAACAAAGCCUCAUACCGAUAAUUUGAAAUCAGCCAAAUGAAUCUUGUUUUGCCAUUCGGCUCAAUAGUUCAUAACUUCAACCAAACAACACACUAUCAUGUCUUCCUUUACUUUCUUAACCCACAAUGAUUUUAGCCUUCCUCUUCCUGUGCAUUACCCUUAAUGAGAACAAUGCCUUCCUUCAUUACACUAUUAUUAGUCAUUGGUUUGCAUGCUCAAUUCAUUAGUCUUUUUUUCCCCCCAUUUUUUCAUUAGGUGAUACUUCUUUAAUGAGUUAAUUUUAGUUUGAUUUCAUAUCAUGAUAUAUCAAUAUUUACAUUUCACAAGUCUGUUGGAGAUAAUAUAUUCUGAUAUCUUCUAAUAUCUUUAACAAUAUAAUAUUAUCUCCAACACUCUCUCUCAAGUUGGAAUACGGAAUGCUUAAAGUGAAGUGUCCAACUUGAACUCGAAAAUAUGAUGAUCAUUACAAACAACUAUAAUGAAGUUGUCGAAAGAAAACAACAAUUGUAAUCACUCCCUUCAGUGACAACUUCAAAGAGCAUAGGUAAGAAAUCAGCAUCUUGCAACAAAGAAACGUGCAUGGAAUCAGUUACGAUGGCAGCAAGAGAAACCAACCGAGAGAGAGAAAGCAACAAGACCGAAGCAACGACAAAUCACCACAAACAGAAAGGCCGAAAAAAUGGCAUCCCACAAAGAAUGCUACGAAACACACCGGUGGCCCAAAAACAAAAAAGAACCAAAUAUGUGCUUACCACGUCAGCACAAGGAUUCUAAAAGGGUAGAGAAGUAGCCGAAAAACUCAGUAUAUCACAUAACAAUGCUAUCAAACACACUGGUAGCCUCGAAAUAAGUAAAAAACACAAAGUUUGCUUACCACUUCAACAAACUAUUAGUCAACUUAAGGAAGAGAGAAAGACACUUUGAUAACAAAAAAAGGUGGAGUAAGAAAGCACUCCAGAGAAAAACAAGCCUAGGGUUUGGUUGACUCUGAUACUAAGUUUAAUUUUGUAAUAAGGCAAUAAAAUUGAAUAUGGAGAGAAAAUAGAGACAGGAAAAUGAAAAGAAAUAACACGAAGGCUUAACGUGGUUCGGCCAAUAUUGGCCUAAAUCCACACACACACAAAGCCCUAGGGGGCUACAUCUUUCAUUCACUUAACUUUAUACUCUUGUUUACAUGAUACACCAUAUAUAUAGAAUGGGAACAAAUCAUGGGGUCUCCAUAUAUUCUGAUAUCUUUGACAAUACAAUAUUAUCUC